rnacentral:lncRNA from 1 species
GCACAUCUUCGCUAGGCUGCUUUGAGAGGCAGCCAAACCAGUUGGUCAAAGUGUAGUAAGAAACAACUGCCUGAAACAGAGAGGAGAUGCAGCUCACCUAGAGCAAUGGGGGAACAGUUUCCUCCUCAAUCCCAGAGAAACUAGAAGGAGAAAUCUUCCCGGCAGGCGAAAGGUUCCUUUUCUAAUUUCCUUGGCUUUCUCUCUCGCCGGUGGAGCUUCAGCUGUCAUGGCGCCUUCGUGACCACUUGCCUUUUCUGUUUGGGAGGCAGAAAUGAUUUAGGCACCGACACAGUGGAGGGACCCAAAUUUGAUUUUGGCUACUAGAUGGCUUAGAUGUCAAAAGCCAUUUACUAAUGCCAAAAUGGUCAAUGGAUGUGACUUUUUGCCUACCGGCACGGAAUCCCCAUCAAGUUCCUGCCUCCAGUCUCCUGCCGUGAGUUCCUGCCCUGUUACCCUCCAUGAUGGAUGACAGCCUGCUAGGACCCCAGGGAACUCUGCUGCCCUGUACUGUGGUGAAGCAGAAGUCCUGCUCCAUUCGAAGAGCGAAGAGCGAAAGGCAGAAGUCGGGAGGAAGCAGGCAGGGAAAGCUCCGGCUUUGCUGGGAAGUGAUCUGUGCUCUUCAGUGAAUCUAUCACAGAGGUGUAUUUCAAGAUGGUGGCAUUGGUGUGAGGCGGACCAGCCUGUGCUGUACGUGUUUGUUUAGGAACCCCCCCCCCCCUUCAAGGAUGGCAGACGUGCGACCUGUACAAACUGCACCAAGAAAGACCCAUGCAUUGUAGUAAGAAACAAAACAAAACAAACACAGCAAACCAGAAGUCACAGAAACAGUUCUUGUUUUGCCAGAAGAUGUCACCAAGGCAGCGGUGGAGAGGUACCCCGGAGGACCAACCGCUUCCGUGCGGAGUAAUAAAUAAUGUAACUAUUUUGGUAGACAGUACUGUUGUGGCUUUACUUAGAAGUCACGACAGUGGGGACUGGAGCACUUGGAAUCCAUCUGGUUGAAUUGUCAGGAGAGAGAGAAUCCUUGAGUCUGGGACAGCUAACCUUCUCUACCGCCCGGAAGCUCUGCACAUGCUCCUGUUCACAGGCUCUCUGAGAUAGACUAGACGGCUCAGCAAGGCUUACUUCUGCGCUGCAGUGUCCACGGAAUGUCUAAGAAGGUUGCUUUGUGAUAUGAUGAGUGGGCACUGUGGUUUCUUUCAUUCUUGUCUGCCCAGGGGAUGAAUAUAAACUCCCGCUCCUUUUCUCGGGGAGUUUUUGAUGCCAAAGGAGAAGGUAUACUGAAGGUUCAUGACCAUCUCCAGUGCAGAUUGCUUUGGAAACCCCAGAGUUGAACACUCCUCCUUUGCUGACAGGAGCCCAGCAUAACUGUCCCCUGAGAGGCUCUUCGAAGCAGCUGAUUGAGACAGAUGCAGAUACCCACAGCCAAACCCGAUGGAGGUCGGAGACUCUUAUGGAAGUGUUGGGGUAAGAAUUGAAGGCCCUGAAAAGGAUGGGAACCCCACAGUGUGUGUAGUAAUCUUGUGCCUUUUUUUUUUUAUUGUCCCAAUACAAAGCUUGGGUUUCUUUUCAAUGGCACCAAUCUCUCCAGCCACUGCUCUUGCCCACAUUGACCUUGUCCAUUACUUUAAACACUGCCCUCACAGUCCUUUCCUGAUCAAACCGUUUUCCAUACUUUUC